rnacentral:lncRNA from 1 species
GAAUGUACAUUGUUAUUUUAAAGGUUUGUUUUUAUUUAAAUUUCUCAGAAUCUGCGGUAGGAGGCACACCUUACUAUAAUGAUGUCACCACAGGUCCAACAGAGCAACAAGUCACACCAGAGAAUUAUGAUGAUGUAAUCACUGUUGGACUGACACAUCAUACUACAGGUGACAUAUCAGAAAGCUAUGAUGAUGUUGUCAUCAUAAGACGGCUCUCCAAUAAUAAAUCAGAGGGAGAUCUGGAGGAGUAUGAUGAUGUCUGGUAGACCUGUCUGACUAUGAUUAUUUGAGAGAGGAGCCAGGAAAACUGAGAGGGACUCUUUAAGUCAGUGACUACACCCACUGCCUUACAUCGUAUUACAGUAUUACAGCCUUUAGUUGCUCUUCACUUAAAGAUGUUGAAUGUACCAACACAACUGCAUUUAGCCAGUGUUUGCUGUUGUUACAAUUAUUAGACAUUAAUAGAAAACAUGGACAUCAGUUCAAUACAAAUAUAGAACAAAUUCAUAUAAAGACAAAGGGUGUUUAACAUGUUCUUUUGUAUUUUGACAUUUAUGUGAUCAUUUUAAAAAGCUUAAGGUGUCCAGGUCAAAAGCACCUGCAGAACAAAAUGACCCACAUGCUUUUUGCUUUUUGCUUUAUUAAACAGUUAUAUUCUUUUGAAAGAAAACGUUAUUGCACACUGCUAUGUAUUGUAAAUGUAUUUAUCUUAUGAGUGCAUUUAGGAAAAAAAUAAAAAUUAUUCUAUUUUUUUUCUGAUGUUUAGAGUUUCUUUCAAAUAUUUUACAUUUUAUUUAGACAACAAUAAUGAUGACAA